AGCGAACGCUGGCGGCAGGCCUAACACAUGCAAGUCGAACGAACUCUUCGGAGUUAGUGGCGGACGGGUGAGUAACACGUGGGAACGUGCCUUUUGGUUCGGAAUAACUCAGGGAAACUUGUGCUAAUACCGAAUGUGCCCUUCGGGGGAAAGAUUUAUCGCCAUUAGAGCGGCCCGCGUCUGAUUAGCUAGUUGGUGAGGUAACGGCCCACCAAGGCGACGAUCAGUAGCUGGUCUGAGAGGAUGACCAGCCACACUGGGACUGAGACACGGCCCAGACUCCUACGGGAGGCAGCAGUGGGGAAUCUUGCGCAAUGGGCGAAAGCCUGACGCAGCCAUGCCGCGUGAAUGAUGAAGGUCUUAGGAUUGUAAAAUUCUUUCACGGGGGACGAUAAUGACGGUACCCGGAGAAGAAGCCCCGGCUAACUUCGUG
rnacentral:rRNA from 1 species